AACGAACGCUGGCGGCGCGCUUAACACAUGCAAGUCGAACGAGAAGGCGUAGCAAUACGCUUGUACAGUGGCGAACGGGUGAGUAAUACGUGGGCGACCUACCCUCGAGUGGGGAAUAACCCGCCGAAAGGCGGGCUAAUGCCGCGUACGCUUCCAUCUUUAUGGAGGUGGAAGGAAAGCCGUGCCGUGGGCACGGCGCUCAAGGAUGGGCUCACGUCCUAUCAGCUUGUUGGAGGGUAACGGCCUACCAAGGCUCCGACGGGUAGCUGGUCUGAGAGGACGAUCAGCCACACUGGCACUGCGACACGGGCCAGACUCCUACGGGAGGCAGCAGUGAGGAAUAUUGCGCAAUGGGCGAAAGCCUGACGCAGCGACGCCGCGUGAGGGAUGACGGCCUGGUU
rnacentral:rRNA from 1 species